UUAAGAAUAUUCCGCAAUGGACGAAAGUCUGACGGAGCGACGCCGCGUGGAUGAAGAAUGCCGAAAGGUUGUAAAAUCCUUUUAAGCCUGAGGAAUAAGCAGAGGAGGGAAUGCCUUUGCGGUGACUGUAGGGCUUGAAUAAGCAACGGCUAAUUACGUGCCAGCAGCCGCGGUAACACGUAAGUUGCGAGCGUUGUUCGGAAUUAUUGGGCGUAAAGGGCAUGUAGGCGGAAAUGCAAGCUUGAUGUGAAAUACUGCAGCUUAACUGCGGAACUGCAUUGAGAACUGCGUAUCUUGAAUUACUGAAGGGUAACCGGAAUUCCACGUGUAGGGGUGAAAUCUGUAGAUAUGUGGAAGAACACCAAUGGCGAAGGCAGGUUACCGGCAGAUAAUUGACGCUGAGGUGCGAAAGUGCGGGGAGCGAACAGGAUUAGAUACCCUGGUAGUCCGCACCGUAAACGAUGUACACUAGGUGUCCGGCGUUGAAGCCGGGUGCCAAAGCAAACGUGAUAAGUGUACCGCCUGGGGAGUAUGCCCGCAAGGGU
rnacentral:rRNA from 1 species